rnacentral:rRNA from 1 species
AUUGAACGCUGGCGGCAGGCUUAACACAUGCAAGUCGAGCGGGGAAGAGUAGCUUGCUACUUAACCUAGCGGCGGACGGGCGAGUAAUGCUUAGGAAUCUGCCUAUUAGUGGGGGACAACAUCUCGAAAGGGAUGCUAAUACCGCAUACGUCCUACGGGAGAAAGCAGGGGACCUUCGGGCCUUGCGCUAAUAGAUGAGCCUAAGUCGGAUUAGCUAGUUGGUGGGGUAAAGGCCUACCAAGGCGACGAUCUGUAGCGGGUCUGAGAGGAUGAUCCGCACACUGGGACUGAGACACGGCCCGGACUCCUACGGGAGGCAGCAGUGGGGAAUAUUGGACAAUGGGGGGAACCCUGAUCCAGCCAUGCCGCGUGUGUGAAGAAGGCCUUUUGGUUGUAAAGCACUUUAAGCGAGGAGGAGGCUACCGAGAUUAAUACUCUUGGAUAGUGGACGUUACUCGCAGAAUAAGCACCGGCUAACUCUGUGCCAGCCGCCGCCGUAAUAC